CUGGCUUGUGGCAGCCAAGC
rnacentral:snRNA from 1 species